CCUACGGGUGACAGCAGUGAGGAAUAUUGGUCAAUGGGCGGAAGCCUGAACCAGCCAAGUAGCGUGCAGGAUGACGGCCCUACGGGUUGUAAACUGCUUUUAUACGGGAAUAACGCGCCUUACGUGUAGGGCUUUGCAUGUACCGUAUGAAUAAGGACCGGCUAAUUCCGUGCCAGCAGCCGCGGUAAUACGGAAGGUCCGGGCGUUAUCCGGAUUUAUUGGGUUUAAAGGGUGCGCAGGCGGAAGAUCAAGUCAGCGGUAAAAUUGAGAGGCUCAACCUCUUCGAGCCGUUGAAACUGGUUGUCUUGAGUGAGCGAGAAGUAGGCGGAAUGCGUGGUGUAGCGGUGAAAUGCAUAGAUAUCACGCAGAACUCCGAUUGCGAAGGCAGCAUACCGGCGCCCUACUGACGCUGAGGCACGAAAGCGUGGGUAUCGAACAGGAUUAGAUACCCCGGUAGUC
rnacentral:rRNA from 1 species